rnacentral:lncRNA from 1 species
CCCGGGGACAGAAGUGAUUUCUCCUCCAGGAUAGAUGUAUAUCUGGCUGCCUUGGACACCCCAGGGGUGACAACCCCACGCUCUCCAGCACACAGACUACUCCCAGAGGGUUCCACAUUCACUGGAAGCAGGCGUGAAGCUGGUGCUCUCUGAGGGCCUCUUGCUUGGCACCCUCGCUGACUGUGCCACCUCCCCUGUUCCUGCCUCACCCUUCACUCUGAUCUGCACUCAGGUUUCCUCCUGUGCCUGCAGCCAUGAGGCCAGCUCUCACCUCCUUUCCAGCCCUCUGGGCCCAGGUCCCUUGCUUCCGGCAUCAUAAAGAAUCAGCCUGCUUCUCUCCGUCCAUACCGCCAGCACUCUGGGGUGUACUCAUCUCACCAGACCCAGCACCCAGGGGUCCAGGGUGUCCCUUUAAAUCUGCACUGCUGUCCACUCUGCUACAGCUGGGGCAUCAGCGCUUCCACAGAGAAGACAAGAUCAGAUCCCUUGGCUGCUUGGAACCCACCCACCUUGGAUGGAGCUCAGCCUCUACUGUGAUUUACACAGCAAUACAGUGGCACCUCUGUGGCUGGCACAGAAUGACAGAGGAGGACAUCCAGCCGGGGACAAGCAGGGACUGAGACGACUGUGGAGGGAGUUCCAGCCGCCCCAGCUGGAAUCUGUGCAGGGCGAGUGUUUUCUCUUGGGAAUUGGAGCUUAUUUGAAGAAAGGGAUCACACCCUCCUACCUCGUUUAUAUCCCCGCUACCAAGGUUAGCAGACAGAUCUGUAAGUGAGUGAACACAAUCAGUAUUUAUUAGAUUAAAAUGCACCAUAGAAAGCACUUAGAUUUCCAUAUCAAUGGCAGGUGCCCUCAGUGGGCAGCCACAGU